GAAAUUGCUAUGAAGAGAAAGAGUAGUUAAAUUAUUUCUUUCACAGAGAACCCCGUUAGCUGAAAAGGGGUAAAGAAAUGUCUUUCGAACAUGGUCUCUGAGCUGCACAUCGAACCCUUUAUAGGAAGUAGGUUGUGCUGGGUGCACCCAUUAUUGUGCUAGGGUAUAACCAUCAAUGAAUUGGUGUCGUACCUGAAAAGUUCAAUAUCGUGAGGUAUUGAUAAAUUUGGGUGGUAACACGUGAGGAUAAAACUCUCGUCCCUUUU
rfam:Paenibacillus wynnii strain DSM 18334 unitig_3_1r, whole genome shotgun sequence.